rfam:Gossypium raimondii Chr05_contig_33, whole genome shotgun sequence.
AAUAGGAGAAUAACAAAUCAAAUUUUUCCUCAUGAUAUUCAACUUUUUCCUCCUGAAAAAAUUCAAAUCCAACUAAAAAUGCUAAAUAUCUGGAGGAAAAAUCUAAUUUAUCAUUCUCCUAUU